rnacentral:rRNA from 1 species
GGCUCAGAGCGAACGCUGGCGGCAGGCUUAACACAUGCAAGUCGAGCGGGCCCUUCGGGGUCAGCGGCGGACGGGUGAGUAACGCGUGGGAACGUGCCUUCUGGUUCGGAAUAACCCUGGGAAACUAGGGCUAAUACCGGAUACGCCCUUUUGGGGAAAGGUUUACUGCCGGAAGAUCGGCCCGCGUCUGAUUAGCUAGUUGGUGGGGUAACGGCCUACCAAGGCGACGAUCAGUAGCUGGUCUGAGAGGAUGAUCAGCCACACUGGGACUGAGACACGGCCCAGACUCCUACGGGAGGCAGCAGUGGGGAAUAUUGGACAAUGGGCGCAAGCCUGAUCCAGCCAUGCCGCGUGAGUGAUGAAGGCCUUAGGGUUGUAAAGCUCUUUUAUCCGGGACGAUAAUGACGGUACCGGAGGAAUAAGCCCCGGCUAACUUCGUGCCAGCAGCCGCGGUAAUACGAAGGGGGCUAGCGUUGCUCGGAAUCACUGGGCGUAAAGGGCGCGUAGGCGGCGUUUUAAGUCGGGGGUGAAAGCCUGUGGCUCAACCACAGAAUGGCCUUCGAUACUGGGACGCUUGAGUAUGGUAGAGGUUGGUGGAACUGCGAGUGUAGAGGUGAAAUUCGUAGAUAUUCGCAAGAACACCGGUGGCGAAGGCGGCCAACUGGACCAUUACUGACGCUGAGCGCGAAA